rnacentral:rRNA from 1 species
UGGGGAAUUUUGGACAAUGGGGGAAACCCUGAUCCAGCCAUUCCGCGUGAGUGAAGAAGGCCUUCGGGUUGUAAAGCUCUUUCGCAAGGGAAGAAAACUUAGCGACUAAUAUUCGCUGAGGCUGACGGUACCUUGAUAAGAAGCACCGGCUAACUACGUGCCAGCAGCCGCGGUAAUACGUAGGGUGCGAGCGUUAAUCGGAAUUACUGGGCGUAAAGCGUGCGCAGGCGGUUCUGCAAGUCAGAUGUGAAAUCCCCGGGCUCAACCUGGGAACUGCGUUUGAAACUACAGAGCUAGAGUAUGGGAGAGGGAGGUAGAAUUCCACGUGUAGCAGUGAAAUGCGUAGAGAUGUGGAGGAAUACCAAUGGCGAAGGCAGCCUCCUGGCCUAAUACUGACGCUCAUGCACGAAAGCGUGGGGAGCAAACAGG